rnacentral:rRNA from 1 species
CAGUAGCCGCGGGAAUACGAAGGGGGCUAGCGUUGUUCGGAAUUACUGGGCGUAAAGCGCACGUAGGCGGAUCGAUCAGUCAGGGGUGAAAUCCCAGGGCUCAACCCUGGAACUGCCUUUGAUACUGUCGAUCUGGAGUAUGGAAGAGGUGAGUGGAAUUCCGAGUGUAGAGGUGAAAUUCGUAGAUAUUCGGAGGAACACCAGUGGCGAAGGCGGCUCACUGGUCCAUUACUGACGCUGAGGUGCGAAAGCGUGGGGAGCAAACCGGAUUAGAUACCCGCGUAGUCCCUGUCUCUUAUAC